UACGAAGGGGGCUAGCGUUGUUCGGAAUCACUGGGCGUAAAGCGGACGCAGGCGGUCUGUUAAGUCAGGGGUGAAAUCCCGGAGCUCAACUCCGGAACUGCCUUUGAAACUGGCAGACUAGAGUCUCGGAGGGGGUAGUGGAAUUCCUAGUGUAGCGGUGAAAUGCGUAGAUAUUAGGAGGAACACCGGUGGCGAAGGCGGCUACCUGGACGAGUACUGACGCUCAUGUCCGAAAGCGUGGGGAGCAAACAGG
rnacentral:rRNA from 1 species